rnacentral:lncRNA from 1 species
GUCACUCGGUGUUCUCACCGAAAGCACGUAAUCGCCGGUGUAACUCAUGUUGGCUGGGGGGGCCUCCCGGCGCGCGGAGAGGCUGGGGUGCGCCCCC